AUACGGAGGGUGCAAGCGUUACUCGGAAUCACUGGGCGUAAAGCGCGCGCAGGCGGUCUUUUAAGUUGGAUGUGAAAGCCUACGGCCCAACCGUAGAACUGCAUCCAAAACUAUUAGACUAGAGUGUGGGAGAGGAAGAUGGAAUUAGUUGUGUAGGGGUAAAAUCCGUAGAGAUAACUAGGAAUACCAAAAGCGAAGGCAAUCUUCUGGAACACUACUGACGCUGAGGCGCGAAAGCGUGGGGAGCAAACAGGAUUAGAAACCCUAGUAGUCC
rnacentral:rRNA from 1 species